AUCCACCCACCUCGGCCUCCCAAAGUGAUGGGAUUACAGUUUAGAUUUGGAUGGGCCUAUUGCAGUAAUCACGGUCAUUUUGGGCUGAGAGAUGUCUUCCCGAAACAGCUCUUUAUCAAAAUAAAGGAAAUGGGAGCAUGCUGGAA